GACGAACGCUGGCGGCGUGCCUAAUACAUGCAAGUUGAGCGCUGAAGGUUGGUACUUGUACCAACUGGAUGAGCAGCGAACGGGUGAGUAACGCGUGGGGAAUCUGCCUUUGAGCGGGGGACAACAUUUGGAAACGAAUGCUAAUACCGCAUAAAAACUUUAAACACAAGUUUUAAGUUUGAAAGAUGCAAUUGCAUCACUCAAAGAUGAUCCCGCGUUGUAUUAGCUAGUUGGUGAGGUAAAGGCUCACCAAGGCGAUGAUACAUAGCCGACCUGAGAGGGUGAUCGGCCACAUUGGGACUGAGACACGGCCCAAACCCCUACGGGAGGCAGCAGUAGGGAAUCUUCGGCAAUAGACGAAAGUCUGACCGAGCAACGCCGCGUGAGUGAAGAAGGUUUUCGGAUCGUAAAACUCUGUUGGUAGAGAAGAACGUUGGUGAGAGUGGAAAGCUCAUCAAGUGACGGUAACUACCCAGAAAGGGACGGCUAACUACGUG
rnacentral:rRNA from 1 species